rnacentral:rRNA from 1 species
CCUACGGGGGGCAGCAGUGGGGAAUAUUGCACAAUGGGGGAAACCCUGAUGCAGCGACGCCGCGUGAGUGAAGGAGUAAUUCGUUAUGUAAAGCUCUAUCAGCAGGGAAGAAAAUGACGGUACCUGAGUAAGAAGCCCCGGCUAACUACGUGCCAGCAGCCGCGGUAAUACGUAGGGGGCAAGCGUUAUCCGGAUUUACUGGGUGUAAAGGGAUCGUAGAGGGGAGUGCAAGUCUGGAGUGAAAGGCGGGGGCGCAACCCCGGGACUGCUCUGGAAACUGUACGGCUGGAGUGCAGGAGAGGUAAGUGGAAUUCCUAGUGUAGCGGUGAAAUGCGUAGAUAUUAGGAGGAACACCAGUGGCGAAGGCGGCUUACUGGACUGUAACUGACGUUGAGGCUCGAAAGCGUGGGGAGCAAACAGGAUUAGAUACCCCUGUAGUC